UCACAGUCAUGGACUCUAAUCACAGUUGCUCUGUUGACUUUGAAGUUGCACUUUUGCAGUCUUGUAGCAUUACACAACCUGCAGGAAUUGCACUGGAUGGAUUUAUACCUAUAACAGAAAGAAUGAGCAAAAAGAUCGGUCAUGGUUUUCUGUCUUUGGACGCUGAAGCGAUCACCAAAGAAACCACUUUCAGUUGUUUAAGGAUUCUCCAGAGAAUCUGGUUUUAGCCACGGACAUGAAACGUCUUCUCUGGAUACUUACAUAUUGGAUGCGAGUCUCAGAACUGCUUCAACCAACCUGAAACCAUGAUGGUCAUUGAGGCCAAAAAAAAGCUGACACUGAGAGAGUGGCAAAAUUUAAAUAAACAGUAAUACUAAGGAAAGAGGCUGGAUCUUUUAUGGUGUCAUUGAGCUACUCGGAAGUAACUAACUAUAGAGCCUGCUAACCACCAUCUAUUGCUGCACGAGAUGAUAAACAGCCUUACUAUUUAAAUACA